UGCAAUCUCGCCUGACACUCGGUCUCAACCUGUGCAUAUGAGAAGGUGAGCAAAGUCUCAGGUGUCAUUGCAC
rnacentral:pre_miRNA from 1 species